UAAAGCCAGUAUACUCCAAUAAAAUUUUUAAAAAAUCCUUUGCAGGAGAUCAGUCCCCUCUGGGAGCAGCCCUGCUGUUCUGGGAGCCUCAACACGGCAGAUCAGGAACCAAGGCAGCAUGAGGCAUGAUGGCGUGGCUUUCUGUGACGGUGGGCACUUUUCCAGGGGUCUCUCCUUGGUCUCUCAUCCACCCCUCCAAGGUCCAUCCACAUCGCUGAAGCUGGCAUUCUUUCAUUCUUUUUUAUGGCUGAGUAAUAUUCUGCAAAGAGGACAGUCUUAUCUUAGGUUUAUAACCGAGGAGCCUGAGGUCCAGGAAGGCCAGGUGACCCCCCCUAAGGUCACGCAGCAGGUGGUGGAGAUGAGAACUGAAGCCAGUUUGCUGACACCCAGG
rnacentral:lncRNA from 1 species